AGUGAGCGCUAGCGGCGUGGUUAAGACAUGCAAGUCGAGCGAGAAUCUUCAAAGGGUAACCGGAGAAGAGGACAGCGGCAAACGGGUGCGUAACACGUGAGCAACCUGCCUUUAAGUAGAGGAUAGCCCACCGAAAGGUGGAUUAAUACUGUAUGUGGUCCCAAGUUUCAUGACUUGGGUACUAAAGCUUGUAAAGGCGCUUAAAGAAGGGGCUCGCGGCCUAUCAGCUUGUUGGUGAGGUAAAGGCUCACCAAGGCUAAGACGGGUAGCUGAUCUGAGAGGAUGAUCAGCCACACUGGAACUGAGAUACGGUCCAGACACCUACGGGUGGCAGCAGUUUCGAAUCAUUCACAAUGGGCAAAGCCUGAUGAUGCAACGCCGCGUGGGGGACGAAGGUCCUCGGAUUGGAAAACCCCUGUCACUAGGGAG
rnacentral:rRNA from 1 species